AGGUUUUAAAGCUACUGUUCACUUGGUGAACUGGGCAGGGACAGAGGAAAGAAGAGCCCAAGGGAUCCCCAGAAGGGGAUGGUUCAGCAGGAGGUGGUCAGAGGAGAAGGGCGACAGGGGUGAAGGGAAGACUGGGAGGAGAAAGGAGUGGAAAAUCAAGGGGAAAGCAAGGAGGACUUAAGGCAGUCACAGACAUUGAUGAGUGAUCAUUUAUGACAUUGAUACGGGUGACAGCUGGGAUUUUAUGAAGCAUUUGAAAGAGUGACAUGAUUUUUAGGUAUUUUGAGUCUUUUCCACGGCUGUGCGAUAAGGGAAAUGCAGCUGCAAGAAGGCAUAUGGCUCAGAUAAGAGGAAGCUAAUAAACAUAUGAAUGAGGUUUAAACCCAGUUAGAUCAAAGGAAUACAUUUGGCUAUUCUCAUAACAAGGGCUUUAUCCUUCCCUUGCUAUUUUCCUCAGAUAGGAAACUCAUCCUUUAGUCCCAGGGCAGUUUAGCCUUUUUCUCUAGGUCUCCAAACAGCACUUGUGAGAAUAUAAAAAGAAAAUUGAUCUUCUACCUUACAUUUGCUUCCAGCACAGCCCUCUGAUUCUUUCUAGUCUCAGCUGCUCACUCGCCAGCAUCACCCUCAGUCCUUCACAGCUGCACCCACCCCAAGCACCAGCUGCAACCCCUCACUAGCCCUGGCACCCCUGGAUCAGGCCAGGACGUUCCAUAACUCUGGCCCUGAUCUGGGGAAAGGUGCAGCAAGCAGGACAUGCACACUUGGGUCUUACCUUUUUCCAGGAGUGAGGCCAGAGCCAAUGAACACACCUGGAUGCAGUGACCUGGAUAGUCUGCCUGCAAGGCUGCUCACACCUCCUACACCUGCCAGCACUGAUAAGAGCCACCAUCACUCUCUGUUGCAAGCCCUGACACCACAGCUAAAGCUUCCAGGACUUGUUUUACCUGUCUGGAACUUAUCAGCUAUGUGAUGCUGGAGGAGAAAGACUUCUGGAGUCCAGAAGAGGUGAAGCAUGAGCCCAGCUGUUCUGUCUGCAUUAUUCAAUGUCUUCUGCUUCAUCAACCACAGAUCUAAUGUCCUGGUCACUGUGCCCUUCCCCACCAGCCCAAACACCAUGGCCCUUUCUUGCAUACACCAAUUUCCUUUAUUUUAAUUGUGGCCUCUUAUUCACAAAAAUCAGUCUGUUUUACACAAUCUAGUCCUACACAGCAUGGGUAAUAUAUAGAUAAAUACCUAGGUGGCUGCAUUUCUAUUGGUUCAGCACAAUACAUGCAUCCAGUGAUCAAUAAAAUACAAAUUUGGAAAAGUGGAGAUCA
rnacentral:lncRNA from 1 species